GACGAACGCUGGCGGCGUGCUUAGCACAUGCAAGUCGAACGAUGAAGCCCAGCUUGCUGGGUGGAAGAGUGGCGAACGGGUGAGUAACACGUGAGUAACCUGCCUAUCACUCUGGGAUAAGCGCUGGAAACGGCGUCUAAUACUGGAUACGACCUAUCACCGCAUGGUGUGUGGGUGGAAAGAUUUAUCGGUGGUAGAUGGACUCGCGGCCUAUCAGCUUGUUGGUGAGGUGAUGGCUCACCAAGGCGACGACGGGUAGCCGGCCUGAGAGGGUGACCGGCCACACUGGGACUGAGACACGGCCCAGACUCCUACGGGAGGCAGCAGUGGGGAAUAUUGCACAAUGGGCGCAAGCCUGAUGCAGCAACGCCGCGUGAGGGACGACGGCCUUCGGGUUGUAAACCUCUUUUAGUAGGGAAGAAGCGUAAGUGACGGUACCUGCAGAAAAAGCACCGGCUAACUACGUGCCAGCCGCCGCCGUAA
rnacentral:rRNA from 1 species